AGCAAACAAAUUAUUCUUCUUCCUCUUCACCUCCACAGUGCUUAUGCAAAGUAGGGUUUGUUUCAGAUUUUUGGCUAAAUUUGGCAAAAUGCGGCUCUUUAAUUAUAUGUACUCUUUUUUAGCAAAACCCAUGUUUAUUUUUCCUUUUUCCUCCAUUUUACAGUCACAGAAAUGCUUUAUGAUCAGUAGAACACUUGCAGAAGAUCUGCAGAAUCGAAAGAUUUUUGUGUGUGAAGAGAAAACAACCGUGGACUGGUAAAUUGGCUUGUUUGAUGUAAUGGGUCGGACAAUUUUUCCCAGAAAAUGAUGAGAAAGAAAAUUCCUGAUCAGGAAGAUCUACAGGACAAGGGCUGAGCUCUAAUGGCUCUGUCUUUUCUCAAGGGUCGGACAUUUUUUCCCAGAAAAUGAUGAGAAAGAAAGUUCCUGAUCAAGAAGAUCUACAGGACAAGGGCUGAGCUGUAAUAGCUCUCUGUCUUUUCUGCUAAUGGAAAGCUCCACCACUACGACAGCUCAAGGAAGACUUUGGUUGAUUACUGAAAUUCUUUCUUCCAUGCAAGUGUUCAAGGCUUCCCUUUUUAUUCUUACCAAAGGAGUUAUUAGUCAAGUAGAUUGAGUAGAUCGAGUAGAUCCUCAAGUCUUUUUUAUGGAAAGGAGGUUGAGAUUAAUUGCCUUCCCAAGAAAGAGGGUGGUCUGGAUGCUAAAAACAUGAAGUUGUAGAAUAAAUUGAAAAUGUUGAAACAUUUGUGGCUUUGCUCCAAUAGUGGUAGCUCUAUCCGGUCCAGUUGGGUUAAUUCAAAUCUUCUCAGAAAUAAAAGUUUCUAGAAAGUCAUGCUACUAGGGAAUUGUUCUUGGUCUUGGAGAAAGAUUUUGGAUCUAAAAUGCAUUAUUUGGGAUAAGGUGUAUUGGUUGAUGGCCUCUAGUUGAAUCUUCUUGCAUUUACGCAGGCACAGGAGAGUUUGCGGGACCAUGGCCUUGAGGUGUUUGUGUUUGUUGAAUCUUUUUGUCUUUGUUGAGUUUCUUUAAUAAACUCUUAUUUAUUUGUAAAUAAACUA